rnacentral:rRNA from 1 species
CCUACGGGAGGCAGCAGUGGGGAAUAUUGCACAAUGGGGGAAACCCUGAUGCAGCGACGCCGCGUGAGUGAAGAAGUAUUUCGGUAUGUAAAGCUCUAUCAGCAGGGAAGAAAAUGACGGUACCUGAUUAAGAAGCCCCGGCUAACUACGUGCCAGCAGCCGCGGUAAUACGUAGGGGGCAAGCGUUAUCCGGAUUUACUGGGUGUAAAGGGAGCGUAGACGGCAGUACAAGUCUGGAGUGAAAUGCCGGGGCUUAACCCCGGAACUGCUUUGGAAACUGUGAAGCUAGAGUGCAGGAGAGGUAAGUGGAAUUCCUAGUGUAGCGGUGGAAUGCGUAGAUAUUAGGAGGAACACCAGUGGCGAAGGCGGCUUACUGGACUGUAACUGACGUUGAGGCUCGAAAGCGUGGGGAGCAAACAGGAUUAGAUACCCUGGUAGUC